UGGGGAAUAUUGGACAAUGGGGGCAACCCUGAUCCAGCCAUACCGCGUGUGUGAAGAAGGCCUUCGGGUUGUAAAGCACUUUCAGCAGUGAGGAAAAGUUGCAGGUUAAUACCCUGUAACCGUGACGUUAACUGCAGAAGAAGCACCGGCUAACUCCGUGCCAGCAGCCGCGGUAAUACGGAGGGUGCAAGCGUUAAUCGGAAUUACUGGGCGUAAAACGCGCGUAGGUGGCAAGUUAAGUCGGAUGUGAAAGCCCAGGGCUCAACCUUGGAACUGCAUACGAUACUGGCUUGCUAGAGUACAGCAGAGGAGUGUGGAAUUUCAGGUGUAGCGGUGAAAUGCGUAGAGAU
rnacentral:rRNA from 1 species